UACGGGGGGGCAAGCGUUGUUCGGAAUUACUGGGCGUAAAGGGCUCGUAGGUGGCCAACUAAGUCAGACGUGAAAUCCCCAGGCUUAACCUGGGAACUGCGUCUGAUACUGGAUAGCUUGAAUUCGGGAGAGGGAUGCAGAAUUCCAGGUGUAGCGGUGAAAUGCGUAGAUAUCUGGAGGAAUACCGGUGGCGAAGGCGGCAUCCUGGACCGAGAUUGACACUGAUGAGCGAAAGCCAGGGGAGCAAACGGG
rnacentral:rRNA from 1 species